UUUUCACCAUAAUUUCACCAUUGCAUCGUAUUUUCACUCUGCCUAGAGUCAGCCCUUUAUAAUACAUCCUACUCUCUGUGCUCACAUGCUGAAUUUUAAUACAGCCGAAUUCCCAAUAAAGCUGUUCUCAUUUACAUAUUUUUUCUGUUUCUGAAAGCAGGACCUCGCACUCACCAGGCAGUACUGGCCAUUCUCUUCUACGGAAAGUAGCUAAGGCCUCCCUUGCGAGACGAGAAUCUUCACCAUCUGAAUCAUGAGUGCCGGUGCCCGUCGUCAGUCCCUUCUCUCUCCGUUACUGGACCUGGAUCUGGAUCUCGAUCUGGACACUCAUUACCAGCUUGUGCAUCUCACUGCUGAUAUCAUGAUGCUACUUAACUAUCUUCGCAGCACCCGCUCUAGGAAUGGAGAUCCGGGGUUCCCCCCUCUUCUUCGAUACAGAAUCUGCCUACAGCAUCUACAGCAAUCUACAGCAAAUGUCAAGAAUACUUUGCAGGCAAUGACUGCUUGAAGUCUGG
ensembl:lncRNA